rnacentral:ncRNA from 1 species
AGGAAAGCGAUGAUGGAGAUAAAAAUAUUCUUGCUAUUAAUUACAGAGAACCAACAUUUGCUGAGAGUUGGAUUAAUGUGAAUAUAUAAUGAUCACUCCGGAGUAUCUAGUUGAAAGAUUAAUCUAGUAAACAAUGACGUAUACCAGCGUUAUAUGGUUAGGGUUCACUAAGAAGUGUUUUAUUCUAAGUCGACCUGAAAAUGAGAGGUAAUUAUAAUUUAUAAUUACAAUUAAGGUGGUACCGCGGAGAUAGUAUCUUUCGUCCUUAUA